GCCUAAUCAUGGUAUGACUAUAGAUUUUGAUCCAAUCUUAAUUUGAUUAUCAAAUUUGUUUUAUUUAGCCACAUAAGCAAAUGUUAAAUAGAUGACUUAGAGAAAUAAUUGGCUGAACAAAUGAGAGAUACCUGAAGAGGUAAUAUGGAACGAGUUAAAGAUUUCACAAAGGUCUACCUCUUUAUUUGCUAGGUGAUGAUG
rnacentral:misc_RNA from 1 species